CCUGCUCUAAUCAAAACACAGAGAACAUCUUACAUUAACCAGAAUAUAUAUAGUAAGUAAGUUUGUAUACACAGUUACUACAAAUUUCGUAUAUAUAAUUUAUUAAUUUCAUAUAAUAAUAAGAAUUAUAUUCAUUUGAAAUACAGAUCUGAAAAGCAGAUCAGUUGUAGCAUGAUUUUUUAAACGGGAAGAAGCUUUGCAAGAGCAUUAACCCCGAUGAGGCUGUUGCGUAUAGUGCUUCUGUCCAGGCUGCAAUCUUAAGUGGUGAGGGUAAUGAGAAGGUGCAAGAACUCUCCGGCUUUUUUGAUAAACGUAGCAAUUACCACAAAGAAGAACAAGUGUUCUCGACUUACUCCAAGAAAAUUCAAGAAGGGCAACGGGUGAGGCGGCGGCGGCGGCGGUGCGAUCAGAUCUACUGGAGAGAAAGAACUCGACGUUGCUUCUUGGGAGAAAGAUGCGACCGGCUUUGUUGCUCUGCUUAACGGAGUUACUGGUUUGAAGAGAUGCGGCGGCGGCGGCGGCGGCUAAGAAACCCUAAAUGGAGAGAAGAGAAAGAAACAAAUAAUUACUCUUUCAUCUUUUUUUAAACGGUUUUGCUUUUUUCAUAUACAAGCAUAGCAGUUAUUUAUUUUAGGAAUUUUAAGUUAAUAAGUAACCUUAUCUGAAUUCAAAAAAAAAAGUAACCUUAUCUUUUCCUCUAUAAUUGUAAUUAAAAAACAAAACGUUUUAUUUCUGUAAUAUACGAAACUUAAAAUGUAAAUACAAUUCAAAUAUUGUAUUACUGUAAUUAUUUUAUAUUUUCUUUGUUUUGGGUGUAACUCAUGAGUAGCGAAGCCCGACUCUACGUCCCACAUAACAGAAAAGCUCGAAAUUUUUUACUUUGUAAUAUCCCAUGGUUCAUUUUUUUUUCUUUUUUACCACUUCACAACGGAGAUAUAAUUGAUUUUGUCAAUCAAAUUCAGUUCUAUAAACAACCAAUUUGUUGUUUUGAGAAAAAUGGCCUUCAUUCAAUUUGUGAAAGAGUUAAUUGAAUUGUUAGGUUAAUUUUUGGUGCAAGUUAAAGAAAAGAUUUGAUUCGGUAACAUCAGCUUCAAUCUCCUCAACUAUUUCAUCAAUCUUGCGGAACUGAUAACUCCAUCUUGUGUUAUACAGAAUCUGGCGAAGAUCGCACCGAUUAUCAUCAGGUGAGUAACUCUGCAUGCAUUUGGAUAAGCUAUAAGUUUCUUGAAUAAUACAAUUGCAAAGUUAUUUUUGAUAAUUGAAAUUGAAUUUACCUCA